AAGAACUUCUACAACUUCCUCAUGAACCUAUUGAUUAUGUUUCAGAAGAACACUAUUGCAAACAAAUAAAAGAAGAUCUCUGGGAGGUAUGAUGCCAUUGGACAGCAUUUUACACACAGUGGAACUUCUUUCCAAAUCGGAAUCAAUCCUCUGAAAGCCUGCCAUUGCUUUAUGAAGUAAACUUAUGGAAUAUUCUAAA
ensembl:lncRNA novel transcript